CCACCACCACCACCCGUGAGCAGUGACAGUUGUUUUCGUUUCUAGCAAUAGCAAUGGAGUCCUCCUGCCGCUCCAGCAGGCCGAGCCCUCUCCUCGCCUUCCUCUGCUUCGUCGUCGUCCUCCUCCUCCUGGUCCUUCCCCUGCACCCGGCGUCCGCGGCGCCCACGUCAAGUGAGUUUCACCCCUUUCUGCUCCGACACUCGGUUCCUGAUUCUUCCGUUCUUGAUCCAUGAUACAUGUGUCAUAGAUCCAGCUGCUUUUGCCCCGGUUGCCGUCGCUGAUCAUUCGUGUGGUGAUCUUGCAGGGAGCAUGCGCCUGAGGAACCAGCAGCACCCGCCGUCUCUGAAGCUUUCUUCUCUGCAGGAGAUGACGACGGCGGCGACCGGGAAGCUGCGGGGCCGGGCGGCGGCGAGGAUGGACGUGGAGGUGAACGACUACCCCGGGUCCGGCCCCAACAACCGCCAUGACCCUCCGAAGGGCCCCGGAAGAGGGUGAACCAAGCUCACCGCCACCGGCACCAGCUGGCCUGGCCUGCUGCUGCUGGUGCCGCUCUGUCCGUAGCUAUAGCCAUUACUACUGUUACUGUGCUUCACACCAUGCAUGCAUAAACUAAGGAAAGAUCAAGUGAUGUUUUGCUCGGCCGGGUCUCUCCUCUCCUCUUCCUAGUACUGUAUCUGUCAACUCAACUGUCAUGUACUGAUGUACAUCGUGUUCCAUAUGACACCACAGUUUCAGAUUAGUUAAUGCCGACUCUCUUGGCCUCUCUCGAUCAAUCGUUCCAUCUAAUCAAUCGGUUUAGGGCGCCCACGGGUUUGCU
rnacentral:lncRNA from 1 species